CCUACGGGUGGCAGCAGUGAGGAAUAUUGGUCAAUGGGCGGGAGCCUGAACCAGCCAAGUCGCGUGAGGGAAGACGGUCCUAUGGAUUGUAAACCUCUUUAGGCAGGGAGCAAUGCCUGGCACGCGUGCCCGGAGGGGGAGUACCCGCAGAAUAAGCACCGGAUAACCCCGUGCCGGCAGCCGCGGUAAAACGGAGGAUGCGAGCGUUAUCCGGAUUUAUUGGGUUUAAGGGGUGCGUAGGCGGAUGUUUAAUGCAGCGGGAAAAUGUCCGGGCUCAACCCGGGCCUUGCAGGGGAAACUGGCGGGCUCGAGUUCGAGGGAAGCAGGCGGAAUGCGUCGUGUAGCGGUGAAAUGCUUAGAUAUGGCGAAGAACCCCGAUUGCGAAGGCAGCUUGCUGCAGCGGAACUGACGCUGAUGCACGAAAGCGUGGGUAUCGAACAGGAUUAGAUACCCUGGUAGUC
rnacentral:rRNA from 1 species